UACGUAGGGUGCAAGCGUUGUCCGGAAUUAUUGGGCGUAAAGAGCUCGUAGGCGGUCUGUCGCGUCGGCUGUGAAAACCCGGAGCUCAACUCCGGGCCUGCAGUCGAUACGGGCAGACUGGAGUUCGGCAGGGGAGACUGGAAUUCCUGGUGUAGCAGUGAAAUGCGUAGAUAUCAAGAGGAACACCAGUGGCGAAGGCGAGUCCCUGGACGAUACCUGACACUGAGGCACGAAAGCCAAGGGAGCAAACAGG
rnacentral:rRNA from 1 species